rnacentral:rRNA from 1 species
AACGAACGCUGGCGGCAGGCCUAACACAUGCAAGUCGAGCGAAGCCUUCGGGCUUAGCGGCGGACGGGUGAGUAACGCGUGGGAACGUGCCCUUUGCUACGGAAUAGCCCCGGGAAACUGGGAGUAAUACCGUAUGUGCCCUUCGGGGGAAAGAUUUAUCGGCAAAGGAUCGGCCCGCGUUGGAUUGGGUAGUUGGUGGGGUAAUGGCCUACCAAGCCGACGAUCCAUAGCUGGUUUGAGAGGAUGAUUAGCCACACUGGGACUGAGACACGGCCCAAACUCCUACGGGAGGCAGCAGUGGGGAAUCUUAGACAAUGGGGGAAACCCUGAUCUAGCCAUGCCGCGUGAUCGAUGAAGGCCCUAGGGUUGUAAAGAUCUUUCAGUGGGGAAGAUAAUGACUGUACCCACGGAAGAAGCCCCGGCUAACUCCGUGCCAGCCGCCGCGGUAA